rnacentral:rRNA from 1 species
GAUGAACGCUGGCGGCAUGGAUUAGGCAUGCAAGUCGAACGGGUGCAGCAAUGCACCAGUGGCGCAAGGGUGAGGAACACGUGAGUAAUCUACCCUCAAGAUUGGGAUAGCUCCUGGAAACGGGAAUUAUUACCGGAUGAAACAGUUUAUCCGCAUGGGUGAACUUUUAAAGCAGCAAUGCGCUUGAGGAUUAGUUCGCGGCCUUUUAGCUGGUUGGUGAGGUAACGGCCCACCAAGGCGAUGAUGGGUAGCUGGUCUGAGAGGACGAUCCAGCCACACUUGGGACUGAGAAACUGCCCAGACUCCUACGGGAGGCUGCAGUCGAGAAUUUUGGGCAAUGAGCGAAAGCUUGACCCAGCAAUGCCGCGUGCGGGAUGAAGGUCUUCGGAUUGUAAACCGCUGUUGAGAGGGACGAAAGAUGACGGUACCUCUAGAGGAAGCCACGGCUAACUACGUGCCAGCAGCCGCGGUAAUACGUACGUGGCGAGUGUUGUUCGGUAUUAUUGGCGUAAGGGUCCGUAGGUGGCUGAUUAGUUUGAUGUGAAAUCCCAGAGCUCAACUCUGGAACUGCAUUGAAAACUGAUUGGCCUGGACAUUGGAAGAGACUCGAUUUCAGUGUUAACCGGUGUAUGGCGUGUGAAUAUCUUGGGGAAAAAACGCACAAACCCCAUGCGGACAUUUUCUCUGCAG